GGAGAAACGGAGCCAGGCAGACAGAUGAGAACUGAAGUUCAACCAGAUGUCUCCAAUAGAUGGGAGGAGAGCCUGGAGAUGAGUCCUUGCACACGCUGGCUGAAGAUAAAAUGAAAGAAAAAUGAGUCAAUUAAUGGGAACCAAAAGAGUAAUGUCUUUUGACAUGUGGAAUGAAGUGUGAAAAGACGCAUCUCAUACCUGAGGCUUCUCUCACCUUCCUGUUAUUUUGGGGUUUCAUUUUCUCUCAGCAUCGAUCUGAUUUGGACCACAGAUGUGGAGGAGAAAGAGAGGAUAAUAGGGCAUCAGAGAGCGAGACUUGUUCGUUUUCUUUAAGACCGUGAGUGUCAGAACAUUAUCUGCUUUUUAGAGGGUGCUGUUGUUCAUAAGCAGCCGACUGGAGAGCCCUGCUUGCUGUACCUAAUCGGGACUGAGAGCGUGACGCCCUGAUUAAAAACCCACUGAAAGCACUCUCACAUGCACGCACAAAACACACACACACGCUGUCCAUGUCUGCAUUAAAAACAAACCAAAUGUCUCUUAGAGCCUGCAUCAUUUCUCAGCUUCAUUCUCAGCCAUACCAAAAAAAAGUCCAUUAUGUUGGAGGUACACAAAAUAUACUGCGUUUAUAUUUAAGGUUUGCGUUCUGUGGGUGGAAAGUUUUAUAUCCAUUCUAAUGAAUUCAUUUUCACCCUUCCAUUUGAUUUAUUUCCUAAAAUAAAAACUAGCAUUAUACAGAAUAAUACACCCAUGACUCACUAGCAUCAUGAUAGGGAAGCAAGUUUUGAACUUUCUAGACUACUCCACUGAUCAUAACAGAAAAUGACACUACAACCUCAUUAGCACAUGAGCUCUAUUUGUAUUCUAAUGAACUGUGAAAAAAAAAAUGCCACUGGGAAUAUUCUAAGAGUCUGGUGUAAAAUAUAAAGUAGCUUAAACCAUCAAGGAUCACGUCUACAUGUAAAGGUCUUUUGUUGUUCCACUUUGAUGAUAAUUUUGGUUUAGGU